GGUUGCCACCUAGUUUUAUUCCAGAGAUCGCAAUGGCGGAUGGCGUUCAUUUAGAUCAGUUCUGCUCGAGAGUGUAAGUGAGUUAUGACACAAUCCGGGAGCAAAAAACUACAUUUUCCCAUGACACGCGCACCUGCGACAAUCCCUGCCUGGCGUUCCGUGUUAACUUUGGCUUUUUGCGAGAUUCUCCGUGGCAUUUGCACGUUGCGUGUUUUGGCCAGGACAUUGGGAAAACAUCGGGACACCCCAACCGGCAGUGCAGUCAACAAAUCCCAAUCCCGGCGGACACGGAAUUUAUGUUUGUUUGAGAACAUUUCGCCGUCAAGUCAUUCGUCAGUCUUGUCACAUAGCAUUUUUUCCCCCCUCUCCCGAAUUGUAUAGUAUGUAUGUGUGUGUGUAUCUGUGUGUGAUUGCGGAGGACACGCGUAAAGAAGAAGAACUGUAGCUAUAAGAAUGAUGGAAAAAUGCAAAAAUUUGUGACGAGAGCACAACUGCGUCCUUUUAGUGGACAAGACAGGAGGGGACACUACCAGUGACUCUGAUUAAUGCUCGAAUUUGCUAAUUCGAUGUCAGAUGGCGGAAAUUCAUCUAUUUAUGGGAGUGACUUGCUUUAGUUUAUUAAUGACAAGCAGAUGGGAAUUUUGUCAUAUUUUUUGGUCAAAACUUAUCUAUUUGAUGCUCUUCAUUUUAGAUUUUUUAUAGUUUAGAAACUUGAAACUGCAAAGGACUCAAUUAUGGUCUACUUUUUGCAUAAAAUGCUGGAUAAUUGAUUUUAUCCUUCUUAUUCGAGUUUAUUGAAGAUAAAUAGGAACUAAGAUUUUUAAAUUUGAAGAAAUUCCAAACGAUACAAUCCAAAAGAUACAAUUUUUCAGAACAAAAUAGAGGAUAAUUGAUUGUUUUCUAGAAUCUGGAAUCUUAAAUCAGAGAUUAUUCUAAUUCAGGGAGUUCAUUGCAGAUAAAUAGGAACUAGAAUAAAUUCAGUAUACUUCAUUAGCGCCUAAACAUAAAUCAUAAUUCAGAGGCUUUGUGAUCUAUUGAAGG